UUUGGUGGCGAUAGCGAAGAGGUCACACCCGUUCCCAUACCGAACACGGAAGUUAAGCUCUUCAGCGCCGAUGGUAGUUGGGGGUUUCCCCCUGUGAGAGUA
rnacentral:rRNA from 1 species